rnacentral:misc_RNA from 1 species
AAAAUAAUAACCAUAGAAUAACAUAGAUAUAUAUUGAAGCAAAAAUAUGCAUGCCAAAAUGCUCAAGUGGGAGCUGACUAUGAGAACCCUUAGGUAAAGGGUUCAAUCCCCUAAUAUUGCCUUACAAUUCAUAUUUUUUUAUGAAGGUAUGAACUGGUUAACGGGUUGAUUGGCUUACCGUUUUUCUGCUGGUUCAAGAGGGUCAACCCUGGUUCUCUACUAACAAGGGCUUUUAACAUAAACUGAACUGGACUGGCCAUUGGUCUAGUUGCCAACUAAACCAAUCCGACUGGCUAGGCCAGUCCGAUUUUAGAAACUAUGAUUUUAAGUCUGGUAUCUUAGAUUGGAAUAGUAAUCCUUUGGUACCUGUUAAGAUUUAAGAAUGAGAAGAAGAAAAAGAAAGAAAGGA